UGGGGAAUAUUGGACAAUGGGGGCAACCCUGAUCCAGCCAUGCCGCGUGGGUGAAGAAGGCCUUCGGGUUGUAAAGCCCUUUUGUUGGGAAAGAAAUCGUGCGGGUGAAUAUCCUGCGCGGAUGACGGUACCCAAAGAAUAAGCACCGGCUAACUUCGUGCCAGCAGCCGCGGUAAUACGAAGGGUGCAAGCGUUACUCGGAAUUACUGGGCGUAAAGCGUGCGUAGGCGGUCUGUUAAGUCUGUCGUGAAAGCCCCGGGCUCAACCUGGGAAUUGCGAUGGAUACUGGCGGGCUGGAGUACGGUAGAGGAUGGUGGAAUUCCCGGUGUAGCGGUGAAAUGCGUAGAGAUCGGGAGGAACACCUGUGGCGAAGGCGGCCAUCUGGACCAGUACUGACGCUGAGGCACGAAAGCGUGGGGAGCAAACAGG
rnacentral:rRNA from 1 species